AAAAUAUAAAAGAGCAUCUGGAUGCAAGAAACAUAUGUGACCUGGAAAGCAAGAGUAAGAUUGCACGGCUUUAAGCUGAAACGUGAGAUGUUCCGUGCACAAGUUACAAAAACUUUCCAUGAAAGAGGGUUUUAGACCUAAAGAAACUAUCUUUCAACUUGAGGAACACCCUCCAAAUCCUGCAUGAUAACUCUUAACCUGCUGAGGGUAAGA
rnacentral:misc_RNA from 1 species